rnacentral:piRNA from 1 species
UGACUCAUUCCACAACUCGAUUCCAGG